rnacentral:rRNA from 1 species
AAUGAACGCUGGCGGCGCGCCUAAUACAUGCAAGUCGAGCGAGAAGACGUAGCAAUACGUUUGUAAAGCGGCGAACGGGUGAGGAAUACAUGGGUAACCUACCCUCGAGUGGGGAAUAACUAGCCGAAAGGUUAGCUAAUACCGCGUACGCUUCUUGGACUUCGGUUCAGGGAGGAAAGCGAUACCGUGGGUAUCGCGCUCUUGGAUGGGCUCAUGUCCUAUCAGCUUGUUGGGAGGUAACGGCUCACCAAGGCUUCGACGGGUAGCUGGUCUGAGAGGACGAUCAGCCACACUGGCACUGCGACACGGGCCAGACUCCUACGGGAGCAGCAGUAAGGAAUAUUGCGC